AUCCAGCUGACGAGUCCCAAAUAGGACGAAAUGCAGGUUCUGGAC
rnacentral:hammerhead_ribozyme from 1 species